rnacentral:rRNA from 1 species
UUCCGGUUGAUCCCGCCGGAGGCCAUUGCUAUUGGAGUCCGAUUUAGCCAUGCUAGUUGCACGAGUUCAGACUCGUAGCAGAUAGCUCAGUAACACGUGGCCAAAUUACCCUCUGGAGCACGAUAACCUCGGGAAACUGAGGCUAAUAGUGCAUACGGCUCGACGCCUGGAACUGGCUCGAGCUCGAAAUGCCCCGGCGCCAGAGGAUAUGGCUGCGGCCGAUUAGGUAGACGGUGGGGUAACGGCCCACCGUGCCGAUAAUCGGUACGGGUUGUGAGAGCAAGAGCCCGGAGACGGUAUCUGAGACAAGAUACCGGGCCCUACGGGGCGCAGCAGGCGCGAAACCUUUACACUGCACGCCAGUGCGAUAAGGGGACUCCAAGUGCGAGGGCAUAGAGCCCUCGCUUUUCGUGACCGUAAGGAGGUCACAGAAUAAGUGCUGGGCAAGACCGGUGCCAGCCGCCGCGGUAAUACCGGCAGCACGAGUGAUGGCCGCUCUUAUUGGGCCUAAAGCGUCCGUAGCUGGCCGCGCAAGUCCAUCGGGAAAUCUGUCCGCCUAACGGACAGGCGUCCGGUGGAAACUGCGCGGCUUGGGACCGGAAGACCAGAGGGGUACGUCUGGGGUAGGAGUGAAAUCCCGUAAUCCUGGACGGACCACCGGUGGCGAAAGCGCCUCUGGAAGACGGAUCCGACGGUGAGGGACGAAAGCUCGGGUCACGAACCGGAUUAGAUACCCGGGUAGUCCGAGCCGUAAACGAUGUCUGCUAGGUGUGCCACAGGCUACGAGCCUGUGGUGUGCCGUAGGGAAGCCGUGAAGCAGACCGCCUGGGAAGUACGUCCGCAAGGAUGAAACUUAA